rnacentral:rRNA from 1 species
GACGAACGCUGGCGGCGUGCUUAACACAUGCAAGUCGAACGAUGAUGCUGGAGCUUGCUCCAGUUGAUUAGUGGCGAACGGGUGAGUAACACGUGAGCAAUCUGCCCUUGACUCUGGGAUAACUGCGGGAAACUGUAGCUAAUACCGGAUACUUUCACCGGGGGGCAUCCUCUGGUGAUGAAAGAAUUUCGGUCAAGGAUGGGCUCGCGGCCUAUCAGCUUGUUGGUGAGGUAACGGCUCACCAAGGCGACGACGGGUAACCGGCCUGAGAGGGUGACCGGUCACACUGGAACUGAGACACGGUCCAGACUCCUACGGGAGGCAGCAGUGGGGAAUAUUGGACAAUGGGCGAAAGCCUGAUCCAGCCAUGCCGCGUGUGUGAAGAAGGUCUUCGGAUUGUAAAGCACUUUAAGUCGGGAGGAAGGGCUGUAGGCUAAUACCUUGCAGUUUUGACGUUACCGACAGAAUAAGCACCGGCUAACUUCGUGCCA